rnacentral:rRNA from 1 species
AGAGUUUGAUCCUGGCUCAGGAUGAACGCUAGCGGCAGGCUUAACACAUGCAAGUCGAGGGGCAGCGCGGAGUAGCAAUACUCUGGCGGCGACCGGCGGAAGGGUGCGUAACACGUGAGCAACUUGCCCGUAUCCGGGACAUAACCGAUGGAAACGUCGACUAAUUUCCCAUAACAACGAGGGUCACAUGACCCAUGUUUGAAAGAUUCGUCGGAUACGGAUGGGCUCGCGGGACAUUAGCUAGUUGGAGUGGUAACGGCACACCAAGGCGACGAUGUCUAGGGGUUCUGAGAGGAAGGUCCCCCACAUUGGAACUGAGACACGGUCCAAACUCCUACGGGAGGCAGCAGUGAGGAAUAUUGGUCAAUGGACGGAAGUCUGAACCAGCCAUGCCGCGUGAAGGAAUAAGGCCCUAUGGGUCGUAAACUUCUUUUGUGGUGGAGCAAUAAGUCGUACGUGUACGGCGAUGAGAGUACAUCACGAAUAAGCAUCGGCUAACUCCGUGCCAGCAGCCGCGGUAAUACGGAGGAUGCAAGCGUUAUCCAGAAUUAUUGGGCGUAAAGAGUGAGCAGGCGGCAAGACAAGUUUGAAGUGAAAGCGUGGGGCUUAACCCCAUACAGCUUUGAAAACUAUCUAGCUAGAGUACGAGAGAGGUAAACGGAAUUCCAUGUGUAGCGGUGAAAUGCGUAGAUAUAUGGAGGAACACCAGUGGCGAAGGCGGUUUACUAGCUCGAUACUGACGCUCAGUCACGAAAGCGUAGGGAGCAAAUAGGAUUAGAUAUCCUAGUAGUCUACGCCGUAAACGUUGAUAACUAAGUGUUCCUUUAUGGAGCGCUGAAGCUAACGCAUUAAGUUAUCCGCCUGGGGAGUACGAUCGCAAGAUUGAAACUUAAAGGAAUUGACGGGACCCCGCACAAGCAGUGGAGCAUGUGGUUUAAUUCGACGCUACGCGAAGAACCUUACCAGGGCUUGACAUACAAGUUAAUAGUAUAGAGAUAUAUGAAAGUGAGCUUAUACAGGUGGUGCAUGGUUGUCGUCAGCUCGUGUCGUGAGAUGUUUGGUUAAGUCCAGCAACGAGCGCAACCCUUGCCUUUAGUUACUAAUAUUAAGUUAAGGACUCUAAAGGGACUGCCGAUGUAAAUCGGAGGAAGGUGGGGAUGACGUCAAAUUAUCAUGCCCCUUACGUCCUGGGCGACACACGUGCUACAAUGGCCAAUACAAAGAGAUGCGAAGUAGUGAUAUGGAGCAAAUCUCAUAAAGUUGGUCUCAGUUCAGAUUGAAGUCUGCAACUCGACUUCAUGAAGGCGGAAUUGCUAGUAAUCGCAGAUCAGCCAUGCUGCGGUGAAUACGUUCCCGGGGUUUGCACACACCGCCCGUCAAG